UACGGAGGGGGCUAGCGUUGUUCGGAAUUACUGGGCGUAAAGCGCACGUAGGCGGCUUUGUAAGUUAGAGGUGAAAGCCCGGGGCUCAACUCCAGAACUGCCUUCGAUACUGGAAGACUUGAGUCCGGGAGAGGUGAGUGGAACUGCGAGUGUAGAGGUGAAAUUCGUAGAUAUUCGCAAGAACACCAGUGGCGAAGGCGGCUCACUGGCCCGGUACUGACGCUGAGGUGCGAAAGCGUGGGGAGCAAACAGG
rnacentral:rRNA from 1 species